AUGGCGAUCGUGGCGGGUCUCGUCGCGCCGGCCGCGAAACCUCUCGGGCUCUCCGGCGCGCGGCGGCGGCAGCACCGGGGCCGAUGGAGAGUUGCGGCGGCGGCGGCGGCCGGGGUGGACCUCAAGGCGCUCGGGUCCGCCAUCGACAAGAAGGACAGCCAGGAGGCCAGGCAGGCGCUGGACGAACUCAAGGAGCUGGGCUGGGCCAAGCGGUGGAGCUCGCAGCCCUACAUGUCGCGCCGCACGACGUCUCUGAGGGAGCUCACCAACCUCGGGAUCAAGAACGCCGAGAACCUCGCCAUCCCGAGCGUCAGGAACGAUGCGGCGUUUCUGUUCACGGUCGUCGGCACCACCGGAUUCCUGGCCGUCCUUGCAGGCCAGCUCCCCGGGGAUUGGGGCUUCUUCGUUCCCUACUUGACCGGAAGCAUUUCCUUGCUAGUACUAGCCAUCGGAAGCAUAUCUCCAGGUCUUCUGCAGGUUGCAAUUGGUUCUUUUUCUGCAGUUUUCCCUGACUACCAAGAGAGAAUUGCUAGGCAUGAAGCUGCUCAUUUUCUGGUUGCCUAUUUGACUGGCCUACCUAUCCUGGGAUAUUCUUUGGACAUUGGAAAGGAGCAUGUUAACCUCGUUGAUGACCAGCUACAGAAGCUGCUAUACAGCGGUCAGCUCGACCAAAAGGAAGUGGACAGGUUGGCUGUGAUCUCCAUGGCCGGACUGGCUGCUGAAGGCCUGGAAUACGACAAGGUCGUCGGCCAAUCAGCCGACCUAUUCACCCUUCAGAGGUUCCUGAACCGAACUAAGCCGCCGCUAGGCAAAGCACAGCAGCAGAACCUUACGAGAUGGGCGGUCCUGAUUGCAGCCUCGCUUCUGAAGAACAACAAGGCGGCGCAUGAUGCCCUGGUGUCCGCCAUGUCGCAGAAGGCCACCGUGCUCGGGUGCAUCGAGGCAAUAGAGAACGCCUCCUGA
rnacentral:rRNA from 1 species